AACGUAGGUUCCGAGCGUUAUCCGGAUUUACUGGGCGUAAAGCGCGUUCAGGCGGUUUGGCAAGUCGGGCAUGAAAUCUCUCGGCUCAACCGGGAGAGGUUGUCCGAUACUGCUGGACUUGAGGGCAGUAGAGGGUGGUGGAAUUCCUGGUGUAGCGGUGAAAUGCGCAGAUAUCAGGAGGAACACCGGUGGCGAAGGCGGUUCUCUGGGCAUUACCUGACGCUGAGGGACGAAAGCUAGGGGAGCGAAUGGG
rnacentral:rRNA from 1 species